rnacentral:rRNA from 1 species
AUGGCAGCGGUAGAUUUUGAUCUACGCUUCACAUAUGUGUUAGCUGGUUGGGAAGGGUCAGCACAUGAUGCAACUGUUUUAGCUGAUGCAUUAACACGUGAGAGGGGCUUACAAGUACCACCGGGCAAGUUCUACCUAGUUGAUGCUGGCUAUGGAGCAAAGCCUGGGUUCUUGCCCCCUUUUCAUGGUGUGAGGUACCAUUUGAACGAGUGGGGCAACAAUCCAGUCCAAAAUGAUAGGGAGCUGUUCAACCUUAGGCACUCAUCUCUACGGGUGACGGUAGAGAGGGCUUUUGGAUCUCUGAAGAGGCGCUUCAAAAUUUUAGAUGAUGCCAAACCAUUCUUCACUUUCCCGGUGCAAGUUGACCUUGUUAUAGCUUGUUGUGUUCUUCAUAAUUAUGCACUGUCACAAGGGAUUGAUGAAUUUAUUAUACCGGAAGUGACAUGGACCACCCAACCAAUUCGAACAUCAAGGCAACAAGCAAGUGACGUUAGGGCCGUGGUAGACCGUAGGAUGCAAAUAGCAGCCCAAAUGUGGGAAGAUAGACAACUAAUGUAUGCUAAUCUAUGA